UAAGGAAUAUUGGACAAUGGGCGCAAGCCUGAUCCAGCCAUCCCGCGUGCAGGAAGAAGGCCCUAUGGGUUGUAAACUGCUUUUGUCAGGGAAUAAACCUCUCGAUUCAUUCGGGAGCUGAAGGUACCUGAAGAAUAAGCACCGGCUAACUCCGUGCCAGCAGCCGCGGUAAUACGGAGGGUGCAAGCGUUAUCCGGAAUCACUGGGUUUAAAGGGUGCGUAGGUGGCAUCGUAAGUCAGAAGUGAAAGUUUGCGGCUUAACCGUAAAAUUGCUUUUGAUACUGCAAUGCUUGAAUCAGGUUGAGGUUGGCGGAAUGUGGCAUGUAGCGGUGAAAUGCUUAGAUAUGCCAUAGAACACCGAUUGCGAAGGCAGCUGACUGGACCUGUAUUGACGCUGAGGCACGAAAGCGUGGGGAGCGGAACAGGAUUAGAUACCCUGGUAGUCCACGCCCUAAACGAUGCUCACUCGAUGU
rnacentral:rRNA from 1 species